rnacentral:rRNA from 1 species
AAGGAAUAUUGCUCAAUGGGAGAAAUCCUGAAGCAGCAACGCCGCGUGGAGGAUGAAGGGUCUAUGACUUGUAAACUCCUGUAAAGAAGGAAAAAAUUCCCAUUAGAUGGGAGAUGAUGGUACUUCUGGAGUAAGCCCCGGCUAACUACGUGCCAGCAGCCGCGGUAAUAAGUAGGGGGCAAGCGUUGUCCGGAUUUACUGGGUGUAAAGGGUGCUCAGGCGGAUUUGUAAGUCAGAGGUGAAAUCUUACAGCUUAACUGUGAAACUGCCUUUGAUACUGCAAGCCUAGAGUAUGGAAGAGAGUGAUGGAAUAUCUGGUGUAGCAGUGAAAUGCGUAGAUAUCAGAUAGAACACCAAUGGCGAAGGCAGUCACUUGGUCCAUUACUGACGCUAAAGCACGAAAGCGUG